rnacentral:rRNA from 1 species
CCGCGUGAGUGACGAUUGUUUUCGGAUCCUCAGCUGUGAUGUAAAAAGGGAAGGAUAGAGGUAGUAACUGGCCUUUAUUUGCCCGUAAUCAACCAGAAAGUCACGGCUAACUACGUGCCAGCAGCCGCGGUAA